AAACUGUUUGGCCUGUUGUUUUCCAACCAGAUGGCCGCUGCGGCGCGAGCCAUGGCCUGCGAUUUCGGGCGGGUGCAUGCCGGGAUGCGGAGCCCUCCUCCGCCUGGAUGCGAGGUUUUUUGCCUCGUGACAACACGGAGCUUUCACAGCACAAACAAGUCCAAGGGACAGAUGAAUUUCCUUGGCUACAAAGAAUAUUCUGAUAUAAUUCGGCUCCUAGCGAGUCGCUAGGAUGCCUAACAUCAGGCUUCAGCCCCCGUCUGCAUCCGAGCGAGAGCAACGGAUGCUCCCUGAGAUACCGAAACGCCGGGCACGACCUCGGGAUGGGUAAAAAACUCGGCACAAGUGUGAAAUCCCGACUUCUGGGUGCAAAAAGAGGGAGCCCCACCUCGAAGCCAAUUAGAGCAGGAUCUGGCCCUCUCCGUGCUAGCGUCUGAUGAAACGGAGUGGGAAUGAAUUCCAUUCCGAGCCAUCUGAUUUCACGAGAGACCCUCUAAGAAUAAUUCUGCAGAUGCUUAAUGUGAUUUCAACACGAAAAGCAGGAAAGACAGCGAAGAUGAUAGAAAACGACUACAGAAUUUAUACCUUCCCCUCCUUCCUUCAAGCCCUGCACAUCCUGCGCGUGUCCUGGCAUGAAAACUGCAAAAAACGCCGUGCAAACAGAACGAUUCCUGCUCGGGUUUUAUUGCCCUGAAACAAAGAGGUGGCCACUGAAGGUGUAUGUAGCCACCGGUCCUGGACACACAGGGACCAGGCCAGGGGGAAAAUCUGUGGGUUUUUUAAAUGACUUUUUUUUUAAGCAAUGUUUUAAAUGCUGCUUACAGAGUGAAAAGAGGCAGCAUUGAAAUCGCGUGCUCGGGAUAUCGGUCAUUCACACCAUCCUGGGGAGCUCUAGAUGGUACCUCUGCGCCCUAAGUGGGGUUUGGGAAGCCAGAUCUCAAAAGCCCCGAGACAGAGACUGUCGCUGAUAAAAACACGUGACCACUAAUCUCUCUAUUUUUUUUUUAUAUUUUUUUUUAACUGCAUUUUUCCUUCCUGCUGUUUAGGGGGUUUAAACAGCCUUGAUUUUCUGUGGCUGACAACACACCCCAUAUGCUAUUUAUCUUGUCAGAACUCUCUCCCUCUGCCCUCAGCUCCCAUUUUGUUCUCAUUAAUAGUGAUUAUGAAAAAUGGGGCUAAAUACUUACUUUCAUAUGAUUUAUCCAAAUGUUGAACUGCGUAAUUGGAGACGCUAAGACAUUAUCCCUUCAGAUUCUGUCAAGACUCAAUUUCUGCAUUUGAUUUAAUUUUUAGACUCAUGACCCAUAACAGUACAUAUAUUUAUUGCCUUCAUGGUGGCUCGGCUGAACAAUAUAUCUAUCAGUCAGAAGCGGGAAGCUGCAUAUUAUUUAUAAGAAUUUAAAUAGUCAGUGUUUUUUAAGAACACUUGUCCUCAGCGUGCAGUUAUUAACACGGGGCCCCCAGAUACAACAAAAUUGGAAGUCAGCUGGAAGGAAUGCCCUUAUAAUGAAGAUAUUUAAUAACUGGCAUCAGGCUCUGCUUUUCCUGUCGGUGACAGAAGUGACGCACGAGCGAAGGGAGGGCUGCGGAAACCUCGCCUGCCCCCUUCCCGGCCCCGAUCCAGCCGCUUCCUCCCCUUCCACUCGCCACUGGGAAUUGCUCCUGUAUAAAAGGGGCCGACACAUUAAAUUUGGUCCUGCCUGCUUGGUCCCCCGCCGGAGAUGCGCGCGCCCGGGCGCCUGCACACGCGGUUUUCACGGGAGCGCAGGUCGCUGCAUCCCUCUCCCCCUCCCCAACCCAUCACCUCCCCGCCUGCUUUUCCCAAAUCACUUUUUCCUGGCUUUGGCCCCCACGGCCAGCUGCAUGCAAAUGCUUUAUCCGCAGCGAAGUGUGGCGACCGUGGGGAUUGUGGACGCCCAACUCGAAUCGAGCCCGAGACCCCUCUGGGCUUCACAGCCCGGAUCGCUGGGGCCGCGCGGAGCAGCGAGCUGCGGAACAAAGCCUGGCAGAAACCUCCGACCCACCGGCAACGCCACCCCGCUUCCCAAAUCAACGCUGACGCCUUGUCGAAAUUGUUAAUAAAACAAGUAAUCAAGCUGCUAAUAUCUGCAAGCACCAUUUUGGACUUAAAAAAAAAAAAAAAAAAGGAUAAUAGAGCAACCAUCAGGGAGUAUAGUUAAUGUAUGAAACAAUUACUGUAGUCAGAUGCUUAAAUAAGAGCCAUGGUGGCAACAAAUGCAUUACUGUACAGAGGAGCAGUUUACAGUACACAGGAUAUUUUAUUUGCAACGCCAGAAUGGAAGAGAACAACUCCGAGAUGAAGCCGGCGCAUUUAUGGCCAAUUUUUCUCCCGUGGCCUUUUUCGUUGCCGUGAAACCUGCCGGCACCCGCGUGUGCGCACGCACGCAUACCCGCGCACACGGAGAUGGUUUUAACUUAGGAUUAUUUGUUGUAGAAACUCAGGUAAUUAAAGCACGCUCAUCUACUGCCGGCUAGUUCAUGUCAGUGGUUGUCCGUCUUUUAAACGCAAGCGCAGUAACGGGCCAGGAGAGCUUUCUUGUAGGUAGCCCUUUUACCCAAAAGCUUCCCCUUGCCAUUUUGAUAAGGAUCUAAAGGCUAAUCUUUUAUUUUUCAGCUAGCCCUGCCACUUGGGCAUGGCUCUUCCCUCCUUGGGAGACUCCUGCAGGGAACAAUAAGAAUAUUGAUUUAUAUGGUUUUUUUUUUAGACUUGUAAUACCGCAAUGAUUUCCAGCCCCCUCCACCCCGCCUUAUUUUCUCCAGCAUUUGGUGGGCUUUGACCAGCUUUAAUUGCUACAAAGCUCUCCUGUUUUCUCUCGUUCGCACUAAAUCCGUGACCUGCUCCCCGCCGCACGGCAGCGGUUGGGAUUCCUCAUUGUCUCCUUAAUCCCGGUUCCUCUGUUGGGCACUUUCCUCCGCCGGGAACACAAACUGCCCGGAGAAACCCAAAACUCGGCGAAAAAAAAAAUAUCAAGAACAAAAAAGAAAGGGGUGGCCGGGACAUCCUCCAACCAGGACAGACAGCGGGGCAGGCGUUGGCCGGGAGAGGGCUGCUGGGGAGGAGUUCUGCCGGCUUUCGUUUGAGCCUGAAUCUAAGUGUAGAAGGACCCAAACUGGCUUAACUGGAGCACAGCGGGUUGGUUCAGAAAGAUUUAUGCCCGUGCAGCCCUUCAACCCGAUCGGGAGAAAAACAGAAGUAUUAAGUAUUGCCACUGAUAAUUUUUUUAUUAAACCCCACCUUUUAGAAAUCCCGAAAUUUCCAUUUAUGAAAUAUUUUUCCCUGUGGUGAACUCAGCUCAAUUUUUUUUUAAUGCAUACCGGAUAUUUCAGUUGUUUGCCCGCCUUUCAUUUCAGAGUUUAAAAAUAUCACCUUCAGCAACGACGUCAGCUCUCUGGUUUUGAUUUUAUGCCCCACUCUGCAUACAGGCAGAACUCAACGCCAGCAAAACUGCUCUACGCCUCCCUUAAAACACCUGGAGAUGGUGAUGUACUGCGCAAUUCCUUCUGCUUGUGUUACAGACCGAGCAACGACAAUAACCGCACCUCAGGUUAUCCGGCGCUUCACGUUAAAUCUCAGCUGUACGUUGUUUAGUAUUUGGACUACUUUUAGCCCAAAGUUUCAGCACAAACAUGAGACUCCUUUCUCAGAGUAAGACCAAUGAAGAUCAGAAAGGUCUGUGCAAUAAAUAAGUGGGUUUGGAGCCUGGCGCGCCACGCGCUUGCUGGGUGAUCUGCCCGCACGGGGCGGUUGGCAAAGGGCUGUGCGCUCUUCCCACCCACCUCCAGGAACUUUGCGUUUGUCCAUUGCCCUAGUGCUCCCUGCUUCCCGCGGGAAAUAGAUUUAGGGCUGGAAAUCCUGAGGUUAACUAGCUACAAAUGGUAUUUAGCUAUUAAAAGCAUCGGCCGGUCUCGAGGCUGAGCAUCCAUGGG